rnacentral:lncRNA from 1 species
AGUGACACCUAAUAAUAUAUAGUGGCAAACUAGUAGAACCGAAAAAGAAUCUCAAGGAUUAGUUCACAUGUGAUUUAAUCCUUCUAUCAUGAGUCCCGACUAGAUGGAAGGUCAUGGAUAAAUCAUCAAACCUCAUCAUUAGUCAUAUGAUAGAUUCGAUUUGCUCUAGUCCAAUUGUGAUCCUCAUAGAAAAUCUUUUUCAUCUAUCACACUACUG